AACGAACGCUGGCGGCAUGCCUAACACAUGCAAGUCGAACGAAGCCUUCGGGCUUAGUGGCGCACGGGUGCGUAACGCGUGGGAAUCUGCCCUUGGGUUCGGAAUAACAGUUAGAAAUGACUGCUAAUACCGGAUGAUGUCUUCGGACCAAAGAUUUAUCGCCCAAGGAUGAGCCCGCGUAGGAUUAGGUAGUUGGUGGGGUAAUGGCCCACCAAGCCGACGAUCCUUAGCUGGCUGAGAGGAUGAUCAGCCACACUGGGACUGAGACACGGCCCAGACUCCUACGGGAGGCAGCAGUGGGGAAUAUUGGACAAUGGGCGAAAGCCUGAUCCAGCAAUGCCGCGUGAGUGAUGAAGGCCUUAGGGUUGUAAAGCUCUUUUACCCGGAUGAUAAUGACAGUACCGGAGAAUAAGCUCCGGCUAACUCCGUGCCAGCAGCCGCAGUAAC
rnacentral:rRNA from 1 species